GGGUCAAUGAUGAGAACUCAUAGGGUCUCGAAGAGCGAUGAUGACCUAAAAAUCAUGCUCAAUAGGAUUACGCUGAGGCCC